ACACUGGUGGUUCAGUGGUAGAGCUCUGCCUUCCAUACAGGAGACCCGGGUUCGAUUCCCAGCCAAUGCA
rnacentral:tRNA from 1 species